CCUCACUUCCUCCCUCUCUUCUCUCUACCUCCAGCCGCCCCCUCCCCUACUUCCCCUCUAAAAUCCGGUCGACUACCACCAGAACCACCACGGACCACCAUCUGGCCGCCGCUCAACCACCAUCAAUCAUCUUCUUUUUCUUCUUUACUUUUAGCUUUGAGUAAGAUUUAUAUAGAUCCAUGUUUGUUCUUCAUCAAAACUCAAGAAAUUCUUAUAUGUAUGUAUAUAAAUAUAUAUUUUCGGAUUUGAUACGUAUAUGUAAUUGUAAACCCGAAAUCUUUUUAUAAAUAUAUGUAUAAAUCGGUUGUUCUUCUUCUUCCUUCUAUUAAAUUCGAAAUUUUGUAUAUUAUACACACACACAUAUAUAUAUAUAUAUUUUCGGUUACAUAAAUGUUUAUAUAUAUAUAUAUAUGUAUAUAGAUCCGAGUUCUUGACAAAAUAUGUGUAUUUUUCGGGUAUAUAUUUGUAGAUUCGAAAACUUCUUCAGAAAAAUGUAUGGUUUUCGGUUCAAUAUGAGAAUAUGUCAACGUAUAUAUGCGAAAAUCUCUAGAUCCGAAAUGAUUGAACCGAAAUCCUUCCAAAUCCGAAAACUAUGGUCCGAAAUCGUUCAUCUUGGGUACUCAGGCUAAUCAGGGAUAAAGACUGUUAUGCUAGGCUUGGACUUCGGAGAUUAGUGCUCCUUCAUUUAUUGUCAGACUUUAAAGCUAAAUGCCUUUGAUUAUUCCUUUAUGGACCUGGUUGUAAUAAACUAUUCUAGCAUUAUUAUGACUUGAACUCAUGUUCCGGGAAUAUAUUCAUUAUAAUCUAUUUCAUUUAGUGGUAUCUAUGUAA